UGUUAAUCCAGUGGAGGAAGUCCUAUCCCACCGUGCAGAUUUAAGAAACGAAGACGCUACAUAAGCCGCUAAUGACAUUUUUAGGUUUUCAUCCCUGAGAAGCGUUCCUGCAAGGUGAACGGAGGAUGGUGUAUUGGUUUGAUUCUCGGAUAAACUGAUAAAGCAUUGAAUUGUUCUUUGGGUUCUUUAAUGGUUUUCACUGAAAGGCUCUUUGAGGAACCAAAAUGUUACUUCCAUGGCAACGCUGCGAAAAUCCAGUUACACACACUUUUACACUUUUGUUUUUGUAAUUAUUGUACUGCAUUACACUAUAAAUGACUGUAUGAUGUGAUCACAGUGUGAAAGCAAAUGCAUAUUGUGCAA